AGAGUGAGGGAGGGGGUGACUAGUGACAGAGUGAGGGAGGGGGUGACUAGUGACAGAGUUAGGGAGGGAAGGGGUGACUAGGGAGAGAGUGAGGGAGGUGGUGACUAGUGACAGUCACCCCCUCCCUCACUCUGUCACUAGUCACUCCUCCCCUCCCUCACUCUGUCACUAGUCACUCCCUCCCUCCCUCUGUCACUGGUCACCCACUCCCUCCCUCACUCUGUCACCAGUCAUCCCCUCACUCUGUCACUAGUAACCCCUUCCUUCCCUCACUCUGCCACUAGUCACCCCUUCCCUCACUCU